rnacentral:tRNA from 3 species
GAAUACGUAGUUCAACGGUAGAGCAUAUGACUUUUAAUCAUUCGGUUGUUGGUUCGAAUCCAAUCGUAUUCA